rnacentral:rRNA from 1 species
UACGACUACAUAUCAGGCAUAUCAAUAAGCGGAGGAAAAGAAACUAACUAAGGAUUCCCUCAGUAACGGCGAGUGAAGCGGGAAGAGCUCAAAUUUGAAAUCUUCAAGGUUCUUACCUUGACGAAUUGUAGUUUAAAGAAGUGUUUUCUGUUGAAGUUUUGGUAAAAGUUCUUUGGAAUAGGACAUCAUAGAGAGGUGAGAAUCCCGUAUUUGACCAUUAUUUUCCAGCUGUUGUGAUACACUUUCAAAGAGUCGGAUUGUUUGGGAAUGCAGUCCAAAAUGGGUGGUAAAUUUCAUCUAAAGCUAAAUAUUGGCGAGAGACCGAUAGCGAACAAGUACCGUGAGGGAAAGAUGAAAAGAACUUUGAAAAGAGAGUUAAACAGUACGUGAAAUUGUCAAAAGGGAAGCUGUUUGACACCAGUGUUGUUUUCUCGAAAAUCAAUUAAAAAAAGGCAGGAUUUUGUGUUGUAUUGACUUUAUCAGCUUUCUGCACUCUUUUCUUGUCUUUUUUAAUGCACUUUUUCGUUUAACAAGUCAACAUCAAUUUCUUUUGUUGUAAAAGGGUCAUUGGAAGGUGGCUUUCUUUUCGGAGAAAGUGUUUUAUUAGCCUUUGGCCUCUGCAAUCGGAGAGAUUGAGGUCUGCAGCGUAGAUCCUUCGGGGUUAGAUACAUUUGUGCUAAGUUAUAGCCUUUCAUAGACAACUUGUUGACUAUGAUCAGUCAUGUAGCUUACUCGCUUAUGCUAUUUUACCUACGCUUAGGAUGUUGAGCGCAUGUCUCUCUCU